AUUGAGGGUCGGAACAGACAUUCGGCCCGACUAUGAGUCGGGCCGACCAUAACAAUCAGGCCACCUGACAUAGUCGGGCCGACCAUAACAAUCAGGCCACUUGAGGGAUGCUGACAUGGACUUGCUAGGUCACAAUGGGCUUAAGUCUCCAUACAUCACCGAUCCAUUCCAAAUUACUCCUAACAGAUACCCUUUAUUCCCUAGUCCGAGCUCUGGUCGGGCUAUGGGAGUAUUUAUUCUGAUAUUCUGAAUGGCCAG
rnacentral:lncRNA from 1 species